CAAGAAACGAGGCUACGUGCCCCGCUCUUUACCCUUGCCUACUUGCACUAUCUGUUGCUUCCUGGCGGCGGUUUGCCUGCCCGCCAGGGACAUUGUAAAGCCCUGUAUAAGCAUUAAAAAAACUGAAACAAAACCGAAUCGUA
rnacentral:misc_RNA from 1 species